rnacentral:rRNA from 1 species
GACGAACGCUGGCGGCGUGCUUAACACAUGCAAGUCGAACGGAAAGGCCCUGCUUUUGUGGGGUGCUCGAGUGGCGAACGGGUGAGUAACACGUGAGUAACCUGCCCUUGACUUUGGGAUAACUUCAGGAAACUGGGGCUAAUACCGGAUAGGAGCUCCUGCUGCAUGGUGGGGGUUGGAAAGUUUCGGCGGUUGGGGAUGGACUCGCGGCUUAUCAGCUUGUUGGUGGGGUAGUGGCUUACCGAGGCUUUGACGGGUAGCCGGCCUGGGAGGGUGACCGGCCCCCAUGGGACUAGGGUAGCGCCCCGGCCCCUUCGGGAAGGCACAGUUGGGAAUAUUGCAACAGGGGCGGAAGGCUUAUGGAGGAACCCCCCGUGCCGGGAGGCGGCCUUCAGGUUGGAAAACGGUUUCCCCUUUGACCAAGCCUUGAUGACCGUAAUGGGUAAAGAAGCACCGGCUAACUACGUG